UUAUUUUUUGCCACAACAAUAAAUAAAUAAUUCUCUUACUAAAAUAUUUCUUUAACUUUUUCGGAUUCGAUGAGUAUAACAAAGUGAUGUUGGCUACUGGUUACUACAUGCCUGCGAAAAAUACGUGGAUUCAGCGACUGACCGAGUUUCGAGUGUUUUCAGGAGAAGGAUUUCAAAUAUAAAAUAAUCUAAUGGGCACAACAUUUGAAUAUAUAUAUAAAUUAAAAGCUAUUUCGAUAUGUACUCUGCGAACCACAACACGGAAAGACGUGAAAAUUUGCACAGAUUCGUUUAUUCCUGCUGAUUUUACCUCCAACUGUAUGGAAACCACUAUUAAAUGUAAUAUUACUUUUCUGAAAUGUGUGAUAAUGGAAGCGCCGUCAAAACUAUAAUGCAUCUCGUUAGCUGAUAAACGAAAAAGCGAACAUUUUCGAACAUACCCGAUUACCCUUGCUCACCCUAUAUGAGUGGUUAAUAUGUCUAAUUAAAGUUCUUUUUCAUAUUUCGAUAGUGUAGAUAUUCAAAAAUAUAUUUUAAUUAUUUUUCAAAAUUCAAAUAAUUUCGGAAGUUAAAGCCGUUUUAGUGUCGUGACAACUGGACCGGUAAAGGUUAAUGUAAAACUUUAAAUACAUUUUUCUUGAAACUACUUUUUUUAAGGUGGUUGAUAUGAUACACGAGUUAUAUUUAAUCGAUUCAUAUGAAAUUUGGUAUAUGUCUCUCUAUCGGAAGUUUUUUUUCAAGUUGACUUCAUUUUACGAUUUUUUUUGACAAAGGUCAAUCCGGUUGCGAGAUCUUUACUGAUGAAGAAUUUUUUCAAUUUGUUUGGUUUAGAUCAUUACAUGGGUAGCAAAGUGUCUAAAAUUUUGAUGUCCAGUCUAGAAUAACCCCACAAUGUAAUCUGUUGAAAAAAGAAAUUGUUCUAUCUGAAUUAUGUACGUAUGUGUAAAUGAUAGUGGGUGUCGUCUCCUUUCCAGAAAGGAGGGCCAACCUUGAAUAGCAUUGUAAUAUAAUAUUAUAUAAAGUAAAAAUAAAUAAAACAUUAGGAUGGAAAAAAUAUGAA